CUUAUACAUGCAAGUCGAGGGGCAGCAGCUUUGUAGCAAUACAGGGGCUGGCGACCGGCAAACGGGUGCGGAACACGUACGCAACCUUCCUUUAACUGGGAGAUAGCCCACCGAAAGGUGGAUUAAUAUCCCAUAGUAUAUUUGAGUGGCAUCACUUAGAUAUUAAAGCUCCGGCGGUUAAAGAUGGGCGUGCGUCUGAUUAGGUAGUUGGCGGGGUAACGGCCCACCAAGCCCACGAUCAGUAGCUGAUGUGAGAGCAUGAUCAGCCACACGGGCACUGAGACACGGGCCCGACUCCUACGGGAGGCAGCAGUAAGGAAUAUUGGUCAAUGGACGCAAGUCUGAACCAGCCAUGCCGCGUGGAGGAUGAAGGCCCUCUGGGUUGUAAACUUCUUUUCUUUGGGACGAAACCCCUGUUUCUACGGGGACUGACGGUACCAGAGGAAUAAGCACCGGCUAACUCCGUGCCAGCAGCCGCGGUAAUACGGAGGGUGCAAGCGUUAUCCGGAUUCACUGGGUUUAAAGGGAGCGUAGGUGGGCUUUUAAGUCAGUGGUGAAAUCUUUGGGCUUAACCCGAAAACUGCCAUUGAUACUAUUAGUCUUGAAUUCUCUGGAGGUAAGCGGAAUAUGUCAUGUAGCGGUGAAAUGCUUAGAUAUGACAUAGAACACCCAUUGCGAAGGCAGCUUACUACGGAGACAUUGACACUGAGGCUCGAAAGCGUGGGGAUCAAACAGGAUUAGAUACCCUGGUAGUCCACGCCCUAAACGAUGAUUACUCGACAUUAGCGAUAUUACAGUUAGUGUCUAAGCGAAAGCAUUAAGUAAUCCACCUGGGAAGUACGACCGCAAGGUUGAAACUCAAAGGAAUUGGCGGGGGUCCGCACAAGUGGUGGAGCAUGUGGUUUAAUUCGAUGAUACGCGAGGAACCUUACCUGGGCUAGAAUGCUGGGAGACCGCAGGUGAAAGCCUGUUUUGUAGCAAUACACUGCCAGUAAGGUGCUGCAUGGCUGUCGUCAGCUCGUGCCGUGAGGUGUUGGGUUAAGUCCCGCAACGAGCGCAACCCCUAUCUUUAGUUGCCAUCAGGUAAUGCUGGGAACUCUAAAGAAACUGCCGUCGUAAGACGUGAGGAAGGAGGGGAUGAUGUCAAGUCAUCAUGGCCUUUAUGCCCAGGGCUACACACGUGCUACAAUGGGGGGGACAAAGGGCUGCCACUUAGCGAUAAGGAGCUAAUCCCAAAAACCCUCUCUCAGUUCAGAUUGGAGUCUGCAACUCGACUCCAUGAAGCUGGAAUCACUAGUAAUCGUAUAUCAGCAAUGAUACGGUGAAUACGUUCCCGGACCUUGCACACACCGCCCGUCAAGCCAUGGAAGCUGGGUGUACCUAAAGUCGGUAACCGCAAGGAGCCGCCUA
rnacentral:rRNA from 1 species